GCUCACACCCUGUGCAGCAGUCAGUCCCAGUCAGCACACAACAUGGACAUGAGAACCUAUGCUCAGCUCCUGGGACUCCUCCUGCUCUGGCUCCCAGGUUUCAGAUGUGACAUCAAGAUGACCCAGUCUCCAUCCUUCCUGUCUGCAUCUCCAGGAGACAGAGUCUCCAUCACUUGCCAUGCCAGUCAAGGCAUUAGCAAUGAUUUACACUGGUAUCAGCAGAAACCACGGAAUGCUCCAAAGCUUCUGAUCAAUUUUGCAAAGAAUUUAGUCUUUGGAAUUCCAUCAAGGUUCAGUGGGAGUCAAUCUGGGACAGAGUUCACUCUCACCAUCAGCAGCCUGCAGCCUGAGGAUUUUGCCACUUAUUACUGUCAACAGGAUAAUAGUUUACCUCUCACAGUGAUAAGAGCCAUAACAAAAACCUCCCAUGGAAGCAGAAGUGAGAGGCUGGGCUGCUCAGCUGCUCCUUUUGGGGCCUCCAUCUGCUGA